rnacentral:rRNA from 1 species
CCUACGGGAGGCAGCAGUAGGGAAUCUUCCGCAAUGGACGAAAGUCUGACGGAGCAACGCCGCGUGAACGAUGAAGGCCUUCGGGUCGUAAAGUUCUGUUGUUAGGGAAGAACAAGUGCUAGUUAAAUAAGCUGGCACCUUGACGGUACCUAACCAGAAAGCCACGGCUAACUACGUGCCAGCAGCCGCGGUAAUACGUAGGUGGCAAGCGUUGUCCGGAAUUAUUGGGCGUAAAGCGCGCGCAGGCGGUUUCUUAAGUCUGAUGUGAAAGCCCCCGGCUCAACCGGGGAGGGUCAUUGGAAACUGGGAAACUUGAGUGCAGAAGAGGAAAGUGGAAUUCCAAGUGUAGCGGUGAAAUGCGUAGAGAUUUGGAGGAACACCAGUGGCGAAGGCGACUUUCUGGUCUGUAACUGACGCUGAGGCGCGAAAGCGUGGGGAGCAAACAGGAUUAGAUACCCUGGUAGUCCACGCUGUAAACGAUGAGUGCUAAGUGUUAGAGGGUUUCCGCCCUUUAGUGCUGAAGUUAACGCAUUAAGCACUCCGCCUGGGGAGUACGGUCGCAAGACUGAAACUCAAAGGAAUUGACGG